AUGUUCCAUUCAGUAUAUUACACAUAUCCGAGUUUCUCCACCAUUUAUAUCACCAUCAUUUUUUCUUUUUUCGGUUCCUUCUUCAAUCUCUCCAUCGUUUAUAUAACCAUUGUUUCUUCUUCAGGUUGCUAUUGCGGAACACAUCUCGUAGGUAUCUAUCACCAUCUGUCUGUAAAGAGAAG